GUAUGAUUAGGGAAACAUUUCAAGGAAUCAAACAACUCUCAAAAUAACCCCAACACUGGUCAGAUUAAAAAUUUGAACUUGCAGACAUUACAAGAAAAGAUGUCUUAUUUAUCUUGACCAAAAUAUGAAUAUUACCAUGGAUGUAGAGUUGUGGACUAAAAAGAGCCAAAGUAUUCUAUUAACAUUAAACAGUGCAGUUGUAUUCUUCUGAUGACAUGACUAUUAAUGGAUUUGUGAAGAUUGAUGUUUUCAUAUAUUUUGGAUUGAAUCUUCUGAACUAGUGAAACAAAAGAAAAUUGUUUUCUGAUAGGACUGAAGAAUGGACGCAUUCAAUCAGACUUGGAGUUAUGUUACUGCUUCACAGGUGCACAAAACACAACAGAUUCAUGCAAGAUGGUCAUAUCAUUGACGCUGUUACAGAGCAAACCAGUUAUGCACGAAAGAAAUUC